ensembl:lncRNA
AAAACCAGUAUUUUCCAAAGGUGAGCAUAAGAGUGGUCUUGCAACUAGAAGAGUCUGACUUGGGGGCCACCUGCCCAGGGAGAUGGGCCACUCAUGCUGAUGGCACCAGGACACCUUGAGUGCACUUAAAACUGUACAUUUCCUCCUUGUCAGGCAAACUCAAGAGAGAUGCUGGGGGCAUCAGUGAGCAGUCUUCUCUCCACAAAGGUUUGAGAAUUAUCACCAUAAAGCAGUGAAGCCAUGGGAUGGAUGCAGUCAUCUACAAAGAAGGGCAUACACAGAGGAGAAAAAAAGAAGACAACCUGCCAACAUCUAGUUGAAACCAUUGUCCCUGUUGACACAUCAGCCAAGUUUCUUCCAUGAACCGGAUUAUCAAGUGCGAUGAAAAUCGCGAAAGAGAG